rnacentral:rRNA from 1 species
GAAGAACGCUGGCGGCGUGCUUAACACAUGCAAGUCGAACGAUGAAGCCGGAGCUUGCUCUGGUGGAACAGUGGCGAACGGGUGAGUAACACGUGAGUAACCUGCCCUUGACUCUGGGAUAAGCGUUGGAAACGACGUCUAAUACCGGAUACGAGCUAGGACCGCAUGGUCACUCGCUGGAAAGAACUUCGGUCAAGGAUGGACUCGCGGCCUAUCAGUUAGUUGGUGAGGUAACGGCUCACCAAGACGACGACGGGUAGCCGGCCUGAGAGGGUUACCGGCCACACCGAGACUGACACACGGCCCAGACUCCUACCGGAGGCAGCAGUGGGAGAUAGUGCUCAAUGGGCGCAAGCCUGAUGCAGCAACGACGCGUGAGGGACGACGGCCUUCGGGUUGUAAACCUCUUUUAGCAGGGAAGAAGCGCAAGUGACGGUACCUGCAGAAAAAGCACCGGCUAACUACGUGCCAGCCGCCGCAGUAACAC